CUUAUGAACUGAUGUUUGGCAGACAACCCCGACUACCCAUUGAUUUAGUCUUAGGUAUCCAACCUGAAAAUGCCAACCAUAAGUCUCAUUCAGAGUAUGUGAACAACCUUCGUCAACGUCUGGAGGAGAGCUACACCCUAGCUGCAAAAAACUCCCAGAAGAUCGGAGAAAGGAAUAAAGUUAGGUUUGACAAGAGGAUUAGAGUGGCCGAGCUCUGUGCAGGUGACAGGGUUUUGGUUAGGAACAUGAGUAUCAGAGGUAAACACAAAAUCUCAGACAGGUGGGAACAGAAAGUACAUGUUGUGGUUAAACGAAUCAAUGAUGGCCCUGUCUAUGUUGUGGAACCCGAGUUGGGAGACGGACCAAAACGCACCUUACACAGGGAUCUCCUUCUACCGUGUGGGUUCUUACCUGUGGAAGAAAUGGCAGGGAGCAGAUCUCAUGGGCCCUCUAAAGGGAAGAAACCAAGGAACAAAGCCGAAAGAGAAGUACAAUCUUCUGAUAACCCUGAUGGUCAGGAAGAUGAGGUAUACAGUGAUGAGGACGAAGUGUAUCCAGCUUUUGUGGUUCCAGAAAUAAUAACCAGAGGUCCUUUUAUCCAGACUGAAAGGCAGGUUAUCACACCUCAGCUGUCCACUGGGGAUGUGCAUUCUAGUUUGGCCCGUGCAGAGCCACAAGACGAGUCACACGCACGAGAAACACCCAGUCAUGUUUCUGAACCUGAGCCUUUGUUACACUCAGAAAGCAAUGAGGUGACCACAUCUCCCAUUCCAUCUGAUGAAGGUCCAGGUUGGGUUGUUAUUGACAUUCCUGAACAAACAGAAUCUGUUGAAAUGAAUCAAGGAAGCAGCGACACUGCUGAGCGGAGUUUAGAGCCAGAGACAGUAGAGUUGCGGCGUUCUGGGAGAGAGAGACGCCAACCUCGUAAACUAACUUAUGAUGAGUUAGGUGAGCCUUUAAUUUUGGCUCUCAGUUCCUUUUUGUCAGAGUUUCGCAAUUGUAUUCUCUCAGAGCACUUUCCUUCACACACCUGUUAAGUCAAGUGUGCAUGCAGAGACUCAUGCACUUUAGAGGGGGAGAGUGUAACCCAGAUCAUUGUUUGAGUAUGGGAUUUCUGAUUAUUUGUGGUCACUGAACGCACCACUGUGCCGUGCGCAUAGCCACUCUCUAGUCCAGCUACAGAGUUUUUCCUUCCGUUCGUCCGAUGAGGCGCAUGCUGCUCUCGUGCCCUCUACGAGCUGGAAAUUCGGGUACAGUAGACAUUUGAGUUGCUGUAAAUAGUUUUAAAAACCUUUAUAUGUGAAGCUAAUGAUUUAAUAUGUUGUUAGGAAAAAGUCUUGUAGCGGUUACAAACGUGAAGCGGAGCUGAGUCCGACAGCAUUCGCCAUUACACGAACUCCUCUGGCUGGUUUGUUUGCCCUUUUGGUGCCCUGGAUCCUACUGGAUGAACUGCCUUGUGGAAGUCCUCAUCUGAUGACUCUGCCGAACCGUCCUGGCAAAUAGAUGGUCGUUGCUGCUUGCUGGAUGCUAUUAUUGGAUGCUACACCGUUCCAACAGAGCGAGAAACUGUGAUUCUGGGUUAAACAUCGGGGUGAAAUUGAUGACACCGACACCUAGUGAACUGCCCAAGGUCAACAGUCCUGAUUUCCACGCAUUAAAGGUUUGGCGUAAGUACAGAUUGCGUUACACCUGCGUUCACAGAAAAAUGUACAAAUGUCAUCUGUCCAGCAUGGUUAACGCUUGUAUAGAUCUACCUCCAGCUGUUGUAAUCCUAGCCAGGUCCACUCCAACCAUGCUGGACGCCAUC
ensembl:lncRNA